rnacentral:misc_RNA from 1 species
UGAAAGGAGCGGUACCAGUUGAACUAAACUGUUACUGUAUAAUUCAUAAUCUGUUUACACACAUAUUUAUGUUUGUUUUUGUGUUCGUUUCCGAUGGAUGAUGACAGGUUUGAUGUACAACAAGUUUCGUGUGACAUCUUGAAAGAGUUUUUAGAAACUGCCAUCCAUUGUGUUCUGUACAUCCGUGGUUUAUACCCUCCGGGAGUCUUUGAGAAGACUAAGAAAUACAAUGUUCCCAUUCAGAUGUGUGUGCAUCCAGAAGUCACUCAAUACAUCUCCAGCCUUGUUGACGGAGUUACGGUUCUUCUCGAAAAAAGGCUGGUCGACAAAGUUGUCAUUGUCAUACUGAGGGGAGAUAACUCUCCAGUUGAGAAUUUUGUCUUUGAAAUUUGUGGACCACUGACAAAAAACAGGACUGACAAUUAUUUGUAUGAUUUGGAACAGUCAUUACGUGCUUUCAUCCUCAAGUUGAACAUUUGUGACGGCUUGCUGCAGCCCUUGCCUUCUGAUUGCUCCUGGACUCUUCACGUUCACACACGAGAUUCUGCGAUACAGAAACUGGAAGAAAAACAAGACUCGCUGAAAAAAAAAGAAGAUAUAUAGUGUACGAUACUGACUGACCAACUAGCCACCCAUGUGACUGCUGAAAUGGUUGAAGGAUCGAAUCCUUGGAAGACAUAUUCUCUGAUUGGGUUUUGUUUCUCCAGGGCGGAAUGUGCAGUUGGUUUGGGAUCGAUCCAUGUCGGUGGACCCAUUGAGAUAUUUCUCGUUCCAGCCAGUGCACCACGACUGAACUUUCCAUGGGUGGAAGCUGAUGAGAAGGAGCAGACGGUAGUAGACUCAAAACUUGUCCCUCUCAAGUCGAUGAAAUCCAACUUAUUCCAGAUGCAAUUAUAUGUUGAGGAAAGUGAACACAAA